GCAAGUCGAGCGAAUGGAUUAAGAGCUUGCUCUUAUGAAGUUAGCGGCGGACGGGUGAGUAACACGUGGGUAACCUGCCCAUAAGACUGGGAUAACUCCGGGAAACCGGGGCUAAUACCGGAUAACAUUUUGAACUGCAUGGUUCGAAAUUGAAAGGCGGCUUCGGCUGUCACUUAUGGAUGGACCCGCGUCGCAUUAGCUAGUUGGUGAGGUAACGGCUCACCAAGGCAACGAUGCGUAGCCGACCUGAGAGGGUGAUCGGCCACACUGGGACUGAGACACGGCCCAGACUCCUACGGGAGGCAGCAGUAGGGAAUCUUCCGCAAUGGACGAAAGUCUGACGGAGCAACGCCGCGUGAGUGAUGAAGGCUUUCGGGUCGUAAAACUCUGUUGUUAGGGAAGAACAAGUGCUAGUUGAAUAAGCUGGCACCUUGACGGUACCUAACCAGAAAGCCACGGCUAACUACGUGCCAGCAGCCGCGGUAAUACGUAGGUGGCAAGCGUUAUCCGGAAUUAUUGGGCGUAAAGCGCGCGCAGGUGGUUUCUUAAGUCUGAUGUGAAAGCCCACGGCUCAACCGUGGAGGGUCAUUGGAAACUGGGAGACUUGAGUGCAGAAGAGGAAAGUGGAAUUCCAUGUGUAGCGGUGAAAUGCGUAGAGAUUAUGGAGGAACACCAGUGGCGAAGGCGACUUUCUGGUCUGUAACUGACACUGAGGCGCGAAAGCGUGGG
rnacentral:rRNA from 1 species